rnacentral:rRNA from 1 species
GAGGGAUAUUGCGCAAUGGGGGAAACCCUGACGCAGCGAUGCCGCGUGGGCGAAGAAGGUCUUCGGAUCGUAAAGCCCUUUUCUCCCUGACGAGAAAGGACGGUAAGGGAGGAAUAAGUCUCGGCUAACUACGUGCCAGCAGCCGCGGUAAAACGUAGGAGGCGAGCGUUAUCCGGAUUCAUUGGGCGUAAAGGGCGUUUAGGCGGCGUUCUAAGUUGGAUGUGAAAUCUUCCGGCUCAACCGGAAGGGGCCAUCCAAUACUGGGGCGCUUGAGGGCAGCAGAGGGAGGUGGAAUUCCCGGUGUAGCGGUGGAAUGCGUAGAUAUCGGGAGGAACACCAGUGGCGAAGGCGGCCUCCUGGGCUGCUUCUGACGCUGAAGCGCGAAAGCGUGGGGAGCGAACGG